ACCGUUUCUGAGCACCACCAAGAACAGCAACCUGGGACAUGGAACUUCGAUGUCUUGUGAGGAGAAAGCCCCCUCUGCCUCACCACCAACCUCAGUGCAUACCCUGAGACCUGCAGACAUCCAAGUUGUGGCAGCUCUGGGAGACUCUGUGACUGCUGGCAAUGGAAUCAGCUCCCAAGAAGGUGAUCUCGCUGAUGUUACCACACAGUAUCGAGGACUGUCCUACAGAAAAAGUAAACCAAGGUUCUUACCAAACUCCUGGGUCAGAAAAUCCACCAUGAAAUGUACCCGAAAAGCUCCAAGUCCUUGAUUCCUCGCCUGUCCGUUUGCAUGUCUGUUUUCAUAUGUUGAUGCUACUGUGUUUGUCUGCGUGUAUGUAUUCAUGUUGUUUCACAGUCACACCUCUGCCUGUAUAAAUAAUGUACACAUACUCACUUCCCGAGGAGAUGCUGGAGGCAAGUGGCAAUCCACGGGUGACUUUGAGCAACUCCUGUGUGCUGGCACGGAGUUAGGAACUGAGUUGGGUGUCUGGGGGAGGGGAGUAUGUUAGCUGUGUGCUCACCUGGCUAGUGCUCUUGAGAAAUGGAAACUUCCUGAGUGCAGGACUGGACACAGGAGAAGAGGAACCAGAAAGGGUACCUGGCAUGCCCUCAGACAAGGGAAGGGUUGGAAAGGGGUACAUCCAGUGAACAAUUGAGUGUGAGUUGUGUUCCUUUCUUUCCUAAUAAAGUUUCUGGUUUUGUAUGCUUCAAA
rnacentral:lncRNA from 1 species